GAUGCAGCGACGCCGCGUGCGGGAUGAAGGCCUUCGGGUUGUAAACCGCUUUCAGCAGGGACGAGGCGAAAGUGACGGUACCUGCAGAAGAAGCCCCGGCUAACUACGUGCCAGCAGCCGCGGUAAUACGUAGGGGGCAAGCGUUAUCCGGAUUCAUUGGGCGUAAAGCGCUCGUAGGCGGUCUGUUAGGUCGGGAGUUAAAUCCGGGGGCUCAACCCCCGUUCGCUCCCGAUACCGGCAGACUUGAGUUUGGUAGGGGAAGGUGGAAUUCCUAGUGUAGCGGUGGAAUGCGCAGAUAUUAGGAAGAACACCAGUGGCGAAGGCGGCCUUCUGGGCCAUAACUGACGCUGAGGAGCGAAAGCUAGGGGAGCAAACA
rnacentral:rRNA from 1 species